GACGAACGCUGGCGGCGUGCUUAACACAUGCAAGUCGAACGGAAAGGCUCUGCUUUUGUUGGGUGCACGAGUGGCGAACGGGUGAGUAACACGGGAGUAACCUGACCUUGCCUUUGGGGUAACUUCAGGUAACUGGGGCUAAUACCAGCUAGGAGCUCCUGCUACUUGGUGUGGGUUGGAAAGUUGCGGAGGGUGGGUAUGGACUCGCGGCCUAUCAGCUUGUUGGUGGGGUAGUGGAUUAGCAAGGCUUUGACGGGUCGCCGGCCUGAGAGGGUGACCGGCCACAUUGGGACUGAGAUGCGGCCCAGACGGCUACUGGAGGCAGGAGUGGGAAAUAGUGCACGAUGGGCGGAAGCCUGGUGCAGCAACGCCGGGUGGGGGAGGACGGCCGUCGGGUUGUAACCCGCUUUAGCCUGUGACGAAGAGUGAGUGACGGUAACGGGUAAAGAAGCACCGGCUAACUACGUG
rnacentral:rRNA from 1 species